rnacentral:rRNA from 1 species
AUUGAACGCUGGCGGCAGGCCUAACACAUGCAAGUCGAACGGUAACAGGAAGAAGCUUGCUUCUUUGCUGACGAGUGGCGGACGGGUGAGUAAUGUCUGGGAAACUGCCUGAUGGAGGGGGAUAACUACUGGAAACGGUAGCUAAUACCGCAUAACGUCGCAAAACCAAAGAGGGGGACCUUCGGGCCUCUUGCCAUCGGAUGUGCCCAGAUGGGAUUAGCUAGUAGGUGGGGUAACGGCUCACCUAGGCGACGAUCCCUAGCUGGUCUGAGAGGAUGACCAGCCACACUGGAACUGAGACACGGUCCAGACUCCUACGGGAGGCAGCAGUGGGGAAUAUUGCACAAUGGGCGCAAGCCUGAUGCAGCCAUGCCGCGUGUAUGAAGAAGGCCUUCGGGUUGUAAAGUACUUUCAGCGGGGAGGAAGGGAGUAAAGUUAAUACCUUUGCUCGUUGACGUUACCCGCAGAAGAAGCACCGGCUAACUCCGUGCCAGCAGCCGCGGUAAUACGGAGGGUGCUAGCGUUAAUCGGAAUUACUGGGCGUAAAGCGCACGCAGGCGGUUUGUUAAGUCAGAUGUGAAAUCCCCGGGCUCAACCUGGGAACUGCAUCUGAUACUGGCAAGCUUGAGUCUCGUAGAGGGGGGUAGAAUUCCAGGUGUAGCGGUGAAAUGCGUAGAGAUCUGGAGGAAUACCGGUGGCGAAGGCAGCCCCCUGGACGAAGACUGACGCUCAGGUGCGAAAGCGUGGGGAGCAAACAGGAUUAGAUACCCUUGUAGUCCAAGGGCGAAUUCCACAGUGGAUAUCAAGCUUAUCGAUACCGUCGACCUCGAGUGUAGGACACCGGUAACCAGCUUUUGUUCCCUUUAGUGAGGGGUUUA